rnacentral:rRNA from 1 species
UACAGAGGUCUCAAGCGUUGUUCGGAUUCAUUGGGCGUAAAGGGUGCGUAGGUGGCGGGGUAAGUCAGGUGUGAAAUCUCGAGGCUCAACCUCGAAACUGCACUUGAUACUGCCUUGCUCGAGUACUGGAGAGGAGAUUGGAAUUUACGGUGUAGCAGUGAAAUGCGUAGAUAUCCGGAGGAACACCAGUGGCGAAGGCGGCCACCUGGGCUGUACCUGACGCUCAAACACGAAAGCUAGGGGAGCGAACGGG